rnacentral:rRNA from 1 species
UACGGAGGGUGCAAGCGUUAUCCGGAUUCACUGGGCUUAAAGGGUGUGUAGGCGGGCAGGUAAGUCAGUGGUGAAAUCUCCGAGCUUAACUCGGAAACUGCCAUUGAUACUAUUUGUCUUGAAUAUUGUGGAGGUAAGCGGAAUAUGUCAUGUAGCGGUGAAAUGCUUAGAUAUGACAUAGAACACCAAUUGCGAAGGCAGCUUACUACACAAUGAUUGACGCUGAGGCACGAAAGCGUGGGGAUCAAACAGG